rnacentral:rRNA from 1 species
AUGGUUCCUUUGGUCGCUCGCUCCUCUCCUACUUGGAUAACUGUGGUAAUUCUAGAGCUAAUACAUGCCGACGGGCGCUGACCCCCUUCGCGGGGGGGAUGCGUGCAUUUAUCAGAUCAAAACCAACCCGGUCAGCCUCCUCCCGGCCCCGGCCGGGGGGCGGGCGCCGGCGGCUUUGGUGACUCUAGAUAACCUCGGGCCGAUCGCACGCCCCCCGUGGCGGCGACGACCCAUUCGAACGUCUGCCCUAUCAACUUUCGAUGGUAGUCGCCGUGCCUACCAUGGUGACCACGGGUGACGGGGAAUCAGGGUUCGAUUCCGGAGAGGGAGCCUGAGAAACGGCUACCACAUCCAAGGAAGGCAGCAGGCGCGCAAAUUACCCACUCCCGACCCGGGGAGGUAGUGACGAAAAAUAACAAUACAGGA